UCUUUGCAUGCUAGAAUAAUUUUUUUAAAUGAUUUUUGUUAAACCUUGAAUAUUUUGAAUUGUGCUGGGAUAGAUAUAUUUUAUAAUUUAGUAUCUUUUGCGUUAUUAAGCAACUUCUUAGUAUUUUGAUGGAACAAUGGUACCCUCCCCCAACCCUCGUCUAUGGAAUGACUUUUUUUCAGUUUUUGUCACAAAUUCUAUCAACUAGCAAUUUGGAUGACCAAGAAACUACAUCAGAAUGAUAGAUAAUGUAUAUAUAGGUUAGAACACUAACAACCUUUUGCCGACUAAAGGCUUGCGACUCGCCAGCAGAAGUGAGAUUGCUUCCUUGGUUCUCUCUCGUGUUCCGAGCUGACAUGAACUACGCUGGAUGCUGUGAAAAGUUCGCUAAAGAUGGCAUCAAAAUAUUAAAUCUAAGUAUCCAUUUAGUUCCUUGAUUAUAAUACUAAAAUUGCGAAAACAUGACAUCCUGUAAUCAUUUUAUUUAUUCUUCUAGUCGAAUGAGUUGCAAGUUAUAAGGAGAGAAAACAUUAUUACUUAGAAACAUCUAUCGAAACAUAUGCAGCAUUCCCAUCUCUUUCUCAACAUAAGAAUCGGCUGAAUCGAAAAACGGGCCAUUCUGACAUCAAUUUCUGUAAAGGGCCGAAUAAAUCAGACGCCACAGAAUGGAGCCAGCAUGCGAGAGCCUUCUGCAUGUAGCCGUCCUCCCCAGGAAAAUGUUUCCAGGCAAGUAACGAACCACUUAGUGCUAAAACAAGACAAGAAAUGUUUCCAGGCGAUGUGUAAGUGUCAUAUUUGCAGAGUGACUACUUCAGUUUCUGUCAGAUUCUCUAUCAGCAAUCUGUAUGAUGGCAAAUAUUUUCUCAUAAUGGUAUUAGUAUAUACAAGUUGGAAAACCUACUGCUUAUAUAAUUGCUCUUUUUCUGAGUGAAGACUUCCUAUUUACACCUAAAGUAAGACGGCUUUCAUGAAUCCACAUAUGUCCUGAAUCGAACCCAUUUAUGCUGAAUGUGG